GGAGUCUGGGCCGUGUCUCAGUCCCAAUGCGGCCGAUCAACCUCUCAGUUCGGCUACCGAUCGUCGCCUUGGUGGGCCGUUACCCCGCCAACCAGCUAAUCGGACGCGAGCCCAUCCCUCAGCGGAUUGCUCCUUUGGCAGCAGAACCAUGCGGUCCCGCUGCGUUAUGCGGUAUUAGCGUCCGUUUCCGGACGUUAUUCCCCUCUGAGGGGCAGGUUGCUCACGCGUUACUCGCCCGUCCGCCACUAAGCAAAAGGGCAGCCCUCUUUGCUCCGUUCGACUUGCAUGUGUUAGGCAUGCCGCCAGCGU
rnacentral:rRNA from 1 species